AGUGAACGCUGGCGGCGUGCUUAAUACAUGCAAGUCGAACGAGAACGCCCUUGCUUGCAAGGGGUCAGCUAAGUGGCGCACGGGUGAGUAAUAUAUAGCUAAUCUGCCCUAAAGCGGGGAAUAACCAAUAGAAAUGUUGGAUAAUACCUCAUAUGCCCUUAGUACAUAAGUACGAGGGGAAAAGAUUUAUCACUUUAGGAUGAGGCUGUACAGCAUCAGCUUGUUGGUAAGGUAAAAGCUUACCAAGGCUAUGACGCUUAACUGGUCUGAGAGGAUGAUCAGUCACACUGGAACUGAGACACGGUCCAG
rnacentral:rRNA from 1 species